GCUUCCUGUGAAACCCUACCUAGCACGUCUCCUCUUCAACUAUUCUAGAAACUCCAUGCGGGAAUCUGCUUUCUUAUGGGCCACUUCUGGCCCCUUUCAAUGGGGAUGAGAGGAUGUGACACAGCUGAGUUGGCAGAAGGCAGAAGAACCCCACACCCUGCUUCUCACCCCACCUUCACCAGAUCACAGCCCAAACUCUGUUUCCAUGGUGACAGUAAGAGCAUCAAACCCCCGGCACCAGGAAUUGCAUAUACAGAACUCUCAUGAGGGGAAGACGAGGGAACACCUUAAUGUGUAGCAGGACUGAUUUUCUUCAAUCUUCUAAGCCCAGGAAUCUUUUGAGAUUGGAAAAUCUAAAGACCGCUGCACAAGUUGAGUCUCUCCUGAGAACUGAUCCACAUUCUUCUGGCAGAAACAAGAUCCACAAUGAGUUAAAGAAAGUGGGAGAGGUCUCAGGCACCCUCUACCACACAGCAGGCACCGCUUCCGGGGCAGGACACAGCGGAGAGCAAAAGCAGUUCUCACCUUUGGGCUUUUUACACUCAGUGGAAAGAGACACCAGAAAGGAAAAGAGAAAUGAAGGUAGGAAGGAGUGGGCCAGGGCUGGUGUGGGUAGGGUUCCCUUCCUGUGUGUAGCCAUCAGGGAAGCAGCAAUGCGAGGGAGGAGCCCAGGCCUAGAGUAGGUGAGGGAAGAGGCUGUCUGGGAG
rnacentral:lncRNA from 1 species